UAUUACGGUGGCCGCAGAGCA
rnacentral:siRNA from 1 species